GGUUAAGCGACUAAGCGUACACGGUGGAUGCCCUGGCAGUCAGAGGCGAUGAAGGACGUGCUAAUCUGCGAAAAGCGUCGGUAAGGUGAUAUGAACCGUUAUAGCCGGCGAUGUCCGAAUGGGGAAACCCAGUGCAAUUCGUUGCACUAUCGUUAACUGAAUACAUAGGUUAACGAGGCGAACCGGGGAACUGAAACAUCUAAGUACCCCGAGGAAAAGAAAUCAACCGAGAUUCCCCCAGUAGCGGCGAGCGAACGGGGAGCAGCCCAGAGUCUGAAUCAGCUUGUGUGUUAGUGGAACGGUCUGGAAAGUCCGACGGUACAGGGUGAUAGUCCCGUACACCAAAAUGCACAGGCUGUGAACUCGAAGAGUAGGGCGGGACACGUGGUAUCCUGUCUGAAUAUGGGGGGACCAUCCUCCAAGGCUAAAUACUCCUGACUGACCGAUAGUGAACCAGUACCGUGAGGGAAAGGCGAAAAGAACCCCGGCGAGGGGAGUGAAAAAGAACCUGAAACCGUGUACGUACAAGCAGUGGGAGCACCUUCGGGUGUGACUGCGUACCUUUUGUAUAAUGGGUCAGCGACUUAUAUUCUGUAGCAAGGUUAACCGUAUAGGGGAGCCGCAGGGAAACCGAGUCUUAACUGGGCGUUAAGUUGCAGGGUAUAGACCCGAAACCCGGUGAUCUAGCCAUGGGCAGGUUGAAGGUUGGGUAACACUAACUGGAGGACCGAACCGACUAAUGUUGAAAAAUUAGCGGAUGACUUGUGGCUGGGGGUGAAAGGCCAAUCAAACCGGGAGAUAGCUGGUUCUCCCCGAAAGCUAUUUAGGUAGCGCCUCGUGAACUCAUCUUCGGGGGUAGAGCACUGUUUCGGCUAGGGGUCAUCCCGACUUACCAACCCGAUGCAAACUACGAAUACCGAAGAAUGUUAUCACGGGAGACACACGGCGGGUGCUAACGUCCGUCGUGAAGAGGGAAACAACCCAGACCGCCAGCUAAGGUCCCAAAGUCAUGGUUAAGUGGGAAACGAUGUGGGAAGGCACAGACAGCCAGGAUGUUGGCUUAGAAGCAGCCAUCAUUUAAAGAAAGCGUAAUAGCUCACUGGUCGAGUCGGCCUGCGCGGAAGAUGUAACGGGGCUAAACCAUGCACCGAAGCUGCGGCAGCGACACUAUGUGUUGUUGGGUAGGGGAGCGUUCUGUAAGCCUGCGAAGGUGUGCUGUGAGGCAUGCUGGAGGUAUCAGAAGUGCGAAUGCUGACAUAAGUAACGAUAAAGCGGGUGAAAAGCCCGCUCGCCGGAAGACCAAGGGUUCCUGUCCAACGUUAAUCGGGGCAGGGUGAGUCGACCCCUAAGGCGAGGCCGAAAGGCGUAGUCGAUGGGAAACAGGUUAAUAUUCCUGUACUUGGUGUUACUGCGAAGGGGGACGGAGAAGGCUAUGUUAGCCGGGCGACGGUUGUCCCGGUUUAAGCAUGUAGGCUGGUUGUCCAGGCAAAUCCGGAUAAUCAAGGCUGAGGUGUGAUGACGAGGCACUACGGUGCUGAAGUAACAAAUGCCCUGCUUCCAGGAAAAGCCUCUAAGCAUCAGGUAACAUCAAAUCGUACCCCAAACCGACACAGGUGGUCAGGUAGAGAAUACCAAGGCGCUUGAGAGAACUCGGGUGAAGGAACUAGGCAAAAUGGUGCCGUAACUUCGGGAGAAGGCACGCUGGUGUGUAGGUGAAGUCCCUGCGGAUGGAGCUGAGACCAGUCGAAGAUACCAGCUGGCUGCAACUGUUUAUUAAAAACACAGCACUGUGCAAACACGAAAGUGGACGUAUACGGUGUGACGCCUGCCCGGUGCCGGAAGGUUAAUUGAUGGGGUUAUCCGUAAGGAGAAGCUCUUGAUCGAAGCCCCGGUAAACGGCGGCCGUAACUAUAACGGUCCUAAGGUAGCGAAAUUCCUUGUCGGGUAAGUUCCGACCUGCACGAAUGGCGUAAUGAUGGCCAGGCUGUCUCCACCCGAGACUCAGUGAAAUUGAACUCGCUGUGAAGAUGCAGUGUACCCGCGGCAAGACGGAAAGACCCCGUGAACCUUUACUAUAGCUUGACACUGAACAUUGAGCCUUGAUGUGUAGGAUAGGUGGGAGGCUUUGAAGCGUGGACGCCAGUCUGCGUGGAGCCAACCUUGAAAUACCACCCUUUAAUGUUUGAUGUUCUAACGUUGGCCCCUUACCGGGGUUGCGGACAGUGUCUGGUGGGUAGUUUGACUGGGGCGGUCUCCUCCCAAAGCGUAACGGAGGAGCACGAAGGUUAGCUAAUCCUGGUCGGACAUCAGGAGGUUAGUGCAAUGGCAUAAGCUAGCUUGACUGCGAGCGUGACGGCGCGAGCAGGUGCGAAAGCAGGUCAUAGUGAUCCGGUGGUUCUGAAUGGAAGGGCCAUCGCUCAACGGAUAAAAGGUACUCCGGGGAUAACAGGCUGAUACCGCCCAAGAGUUCAUAUCGACGGCGGUGUUUGGCACCUCGAUGUCGGCUCAUCACAUCCUGGGGCUGAAGUAGGUCCCAAGGGUAUGGCUGUUCGCCAUUUAAAGUGGUACGCGAGCUGGGUUUAGAACGUCGUGAGACAGUUCGGUCCCUAUCUGCCGUGGGCGCUGGAGAAUUGAGGGGGCUGCUCCUAGUACGAGAGGACCGGAGUGGACGCAUCACUGGUGUUCGGGUUGUCAUGCCAAUGGCACUGCCCGGUAGCUAAAUGCGGAAGAGAUAAGUGCUGAAAGCAUCUAAGCACGAAACUUGCCCCGAGAUGAGUUCUCCCUGAGACUUUAAGUCUCCUGAAGGAACGUUGAAGACGACGACGUUGAUAGGCCGGGUGUGUAAGCGCAGCGAUGCGUUGAGCUAACCGGUACUAAUGAACCGUGAGGCUUAACCUU
rnacentral:rRNA from 1 species